UUCACGCAUCCCUUGCCACUGAACAGGCACCACUGUCAGAGGGUUUCUGCAGCCCCUUGGCACACAGGAGACAGGAAGUGAGUCAACAACUCACUGAAUCCGCGAGGUGGCGGGGCCGGCUGAAAUCACCUCAUCUCUCCCUUCACUUUGCAGCAGAGAAAGCGAAGACUCAAAUGGAUUGAACGGAUCUUACAGAUUAAGGUGAGAUAGGCAGGAGCUGCAGUGCCACUUAGUCUCUUGUCACCUAGAAGGUGUGAUGUCUAUGAUGACCUGCAAAAGCAUGCAACACUGGCAGGAAGAAAAGAAUGCUCCCCAACGUUUCUGCUCUGGUCAGCGUCACUGGUCACCUUCUGACUGCCAAGUCCGGGACAGAAAUUUCGUGAAGUGACUGGCAGCAUCAUUCACCAAUCCUGGAGCCUGAGACCUCACUGAUCAUAAUUUAAUCCAGAUGGUGAUGAAUGUGCACCAGCCCUUGAACAACUAUGAGAUGGCCUUAGCAUCUAGUGUCACCCUCUGCUCACCAUCUACACAUCCUCCUGGGAGCUCAAGUUAUGGAAGAGCAACCAUCAGCAGGUGAACAUAGAUGUAUAUCUCAGCUCCAACCUGACCCUGACACUGCAACUUCCAUCCUCUCUUCUCUUCUACUUGAGUGCAGAGAAUUACCUCCAGCCAAACAUGGACCUAACAAACCCUCAGUUGCCCCUCUUCCCCAAAUCUGCUUCCUGCCUGAGUCCUCCCCAUAACAGCUAGAGUCAUUUUGGCUUCUCUAAUUCCCCCACCUGCCACUCUACACCAUCAGUAAACCCUGUCCUAUGGAUCACACACCUGGCCCCCUCUCACCUUCAUGGCUGCAAUCCCACGUGAAGCCACUUCCUCUCCCCCCUGGACUCAGCAGAAGCCUAUCUAGUCGGGGUCUUGGGGCUUUCACGCUUGCCUCCCCUGCAACAAAGCCUAUUAUCUACGUUACAACCAAAGCAAUCUUUGUAAAGAGACUAAACAAGUCAAACUCAGAGAAGCAGAGAGUAGAAUUGGCUGCCAAGGGCUGGGGAGUGGGAGAAACGGGGAGAUAUUGAUCAAGGGGUACAAAGGUUCAGUUAUGCAGGCUGGAUACAUUCUGGAAAUCUCAUGGACAGCAUGGUGACUAUCGUUAAUAAUACCAUAUUGUGUGCUUGAAAUGUGCUAAGAGAGCAAAUCUGAAAUGUCCUCACCCCCCCCACACACACACACACAAAGGUAAUGAGGUGACGUGAUGGAUAUGCUCAUUAGUUUGACUGUGAUAAUCAUUUCACAAUGUGUACAUAUAUCAAAACAUCACGUUGCAGUUUGUCCUAAUGAUAUGGUAUGUUUAUAUGAUUUCCUAAUACUGGAGCACCUUUGCAUUACAGGCCUAACUACAACUAAAUC